UACGGGAGGCAGCAGUGGGGAAUAUUGGACAAUGGGCGAAAGCCUGAUCCAGCCAUGCCGCGUGUGUGAAGAAGGUCUUCGGAUUGUAAAGCACUUUAAGUUGGGAGGAAGGGUUGUAGAUUAAUACUCUGCAAUUUUGACGUUACCGACAGAAUAAGCACCGGCUAACUCUGUGCCAGCAGCCGCGGUA
rnacentral:rRNA from 1 species